ensembl:lncRNA
GUUAAAGGUUCUGACCAGGGUUGCUGGGGCAGGACACUGGGGCAGCUUUGUCUCAAGGCCCAGCUGAUGCUGCUCCCGCUGGGAGGCUGGUGACCACAGAGAAGAAUGUGGAUUGAGUACGAGCAUUUUCAGGGACACACGGGAAUAUAUACCCACAAUACAGUAUAUCCCAUUUGGUUUGAUAUACUUUGAAAAUGCUCACUUAGAAAUGCGGUUCUUGACUCCCUUUAAAGCUUAAAUCUCCCUGGAAGCGGGAGUCCCAGGUACCAGUAUGAAUCAUGGACAUUUCAAAGUUGAUUGCUGAAGAUAUUUGAAUCUUGCGUUCACCUCCUCUGGACUGUGGCUUCCUAAUUAGACUACUUCAAAUGCUAACUCACCACUCCUAGGAUGUGGAUUAAAGUUAGCUUACAACUGGAAACAACCAAAAUGCCCACCAACGCGGGACUGCUUAAAGAAAGUUCGGUGCGAUCAUUUAGUGAGCCACUCUGCUGCUGAAAUUAAAAAAUAAGGAAGCUCUCUGGGCGCUGGUGAGGAAAGACCUCCCGGACAUAGGAUUCAGUGAGGAGAGCAAGUGAAUCUUCCUGACGGUUUCAAGGAAAACCUACAUACACAGAAGAAUGUCUGGGGGAAAUGAGAGGACGAAAGACAAAUUGAAGCCAAGAGGCUUCAACCCCUGCAAGGAUGGCUCCACAGCAUGGCUGUUGAGUGGAGUAGGUCCACUCCCGGGAUCUGAACCUGUGAACCCCAGGCCGCUGAAGUGGAGCACACGUGGAUCUUUGACCACUUGGCCACGGGGCCGGCCCCCACGCGUGUCCUUUUGAAGUCUGAAUCAUCUCCCAUCACAUGGCUGGACCACGUUUAGUUUAUCCAUUCCUCCAUCGGUGGAUAUUUAGGUUGCUUCCACCUUUUGGCUACUGUGCAUAAUGGGGCUCUGAACACUGGCGUAUGAGUUGCUAUUUGUUUUUAAUUAUUUAAAAAAUGGAGGAAACAUUUAUAACAAAUGGAAUUUGGUAGAUAAAAACCGUCAAAACCCAAGGUCAAGGAGAAGAAAAAUAGCAAAAAGGAUUGUGGGUGGUAAAAAUGCAGGGAAACUUGCUGUGGGGCGAGGUUGUUUCCUGGUUGAUUUUCUCCCUUGUUUAUGUGCGUCAACCUGUUCGUCCUUAACCAGUUGUCAGAUGCCUCAUUGACUUGAUAAUAGCUCUGGCGGGGGAAGGAAACACAUUAAAUACACUCACUGACUAUAAGUAUCCCACUUUCAGAAAUGCUCAGUGUGGGUAAUCAUUAAAGUUGGGUGAUGGGUGUGUGGAGAUUCACUAUACUAUUCACUCCAUUUUUUUUUAAUGUUUGGAAUUUUAAUAAGAAAAUAAAAAAUAAUUUAAGAGUUUAAAAAGUGUAUCUUGAAGUGGAGGAAAGAGCGUUCAUUCUACUUCCUGACUUAACCCACCUUUCUCGGCUUGGUCUCCAUCCCGGGGAUUGGAAAUCUGAGCCUUGGUUCCUGUCCCUGGAUCCUGACAGAGUGCCAGGUGUCCCCAGGACACUUCCCAGUGCCUGAAGGGUUACAAGCAAAUUGCCCUGGAAUUAUUCCCCUCCCCCCUACCCUCUGGCCCCAUACAUU